rnacentral:rRNA from 1 species
GAGUCGGCCCUGCCCGGUGGCGUCGUGCUUAACGGCUGCAACGAGUAGUUGUGCUAAGGUAGCGCAAUUAAUUGUCCUUUAAUAGGGGAAAGGAAUGAAAGGGUUGACGAGGAAAAAACUGUCUCUGUAAAAUCGCUUGAAGUUUUCUUUUAAGUGAAAAGACUUAAGUGAAGAAAUAAGAAGAGAAGACCCCGUCGAGCUUGAAUAAUAGCUUCAUUGAAGGGGGUUAUAAAGUUUUGUUGGGGCAACAUAAAGAAAAAGAUAUUUCUUUAACUGUUUUAUAAAGAUCCAUUUUGAAUGAAUAAAGCAAAAGUUACCGUGGGGAUAACAGCGUAAUUUUCUUUUAGAGUUCAUAUCGAAGAGAAAGUUUGCGACCUCGAUGUUGGAUUAAAAUUUCCUUUUGGUGCAGGAGUUAAAGGGGUGGGACUGUUCGUCCUUUAAAAUUUU